UACGAAGGGGGCUAGCGUUGUUCGGAAUUACUGGGCGUAAAGCGCACGUAGGCGGAUUGUUAAGUCAGAGGUGAAAUCCCGGAGCUCAACUUCGGAACUGCCUUUGAUACUGGCAAUCUAGAGUCCGGAAGAGGUUAGUGGAAUUCCCAGUGUAGAGGUGAAAUUCGUAGAUAUUGGGAAGAACACCAGUGGCGAAGGCGGCUAACUGGUCCGGUACUGACGCUGAGGUGCGAAAGCGUGGGGAGCAAACAGGAUUAGAUACCCCUGUAGU
rnacentral:rRNA from 1 species